rnacentral:tRNA from 1 species
CAAAAAAUAGUUUAAAUAAAACGUUAAUUUUGGAGAUUAAAAUUAUAAAUCAAGUUAUUUUUUUGU